UACGUAGGUGGCAAGCGUUGUCCGGAAUCAUUGGGCGUAAAGCGCGUGUAGGCGGCCCGAUAAGUCCGCUGUGAAAGUCCAGGGCUCAACCCUGGGAUGCCGGUGGAUACUGUCGGGCUCGAGUCCGGAAGAGGAGUGUGGAAUUCCUGGUGUAGCGGUGAAAUGCGCAGAUAUCAGGAGGAACACCAAUGGCGAAGGCAGCACUCUGGGACGUGACUGACGCUGAGACGCGAAAGCGUGGGGAGCAAACAGG
rnacentral:rRNA from 1 species